GGGUGGGCUAUAGCCUUGGUGGGGGGCGUGGGCGAAGUUCGUCCGCCGGACUCGGAAUGGCCCCAGACUUUGCGGGCGGCCUCCGUGUGCCAAAAAUAGGCCACGGGCACAGCCGCGCCCAAAAAUCAGCCCCCGAAUGUCGGGGCGCCAAGACCCCCCAGCGGAAAAAUGGCCAAAAAACGGGUGGGCUAUAGCCUUGGUGGGGGGCGUGGGCGAAGUUCGUCCGCCGGACUAGGAAUGGCCCCAGACUUUGCGGGCGGCCUCCGUGUGCCAAAAAUAGGCCACGGCCACAGCCGCGCCCAAAAAUUAGCCCCCGAAGGUCGGGAGGCCAAGACCCCCCAGCUGAAAAAUGGCCAAAAAACGGGUGGGCUAUAGCCUUGGUGGGGGGCGUGGGCGAACUUCGUCCGCCGGACUCGGUAUGGCCCCAGACUUUGCGGGCGGCCUCCGUGUGCCAAAAAUAGGCCACGAGCAAAGCCGCGCCCAGAAAUCCGCCCCCGAAUGUCGGGGCGCCCAGACACCAGAGCGGAAAUAUGGCCAAAAAACGGGUGGGCUAUAGCCUUGGUGGGGGGCGUGGCCGAAGUUCGUCCGCCGGACUCGGAAUGGCCCCAGACUUUGCGGGCGGCCUCCGUGUGCCAAAAAUAGGCCACGGGCACAGCUGCGCCCAAAAAAUCAGCCCCGGAAGGUCGGGGCGCCAAGACACCCCACCGGAAAAAUGGCCAAAAAACGGGUGGGCUAUAGCCUUGGUGGGGGGCGUGGGCAAAGUUCGUCCGCCGGACUCGGAAUGGCCCCAAACUUUGCGGGCGGCCUCUGUGUGCCAAAAAUAGGCCACGGCCACGGCCGCGCCCAAAAAUUAGCCCCCGAAGGUCGGGAGGCCAAGACACCCCAGCGGAAAAAUGGCCAAAAAACGGGUGGGCUAUAGCCUUGGUGGGGGGCGUGGGCGAAGUUCGUCCGCCGGACUCGGAAUGGCCCCAGACUUUGCGGGCGGCCUCCGUGUGCCAAAANN
rnacentral:lncRNA from 1 species